AGAGAUGCACUGGGUGUAAAGCGUGCGCAGGCGGUCUUGUAAGACAGAGGUGAAAUCCCCGGGCUCAACCUGGGAACUGCCUUUGUGACUGCAAGGCUGGAGUACGGCAGAGGGGGAUGGAAUUCCGCGUAUAGCAGUGAAAUGCGUAGAUAUGCGGAGGAACACCGAUGGCGAAGGCAAUCCCCUGGGCCUGUACUGACGCUCAUGCACGAAAGCGUGGGGAGCAAACA
rnacentral:rRNA from 1 species